rnacentral:rRNA from 1 species
AGAGUUUGAUCCUGGCUCAGAACGAACGCUGGCGGCAGGCUUAACACAUGCAAGUCGAACGCCCCGCAAGGGGAGUGGCAGACGGGUGAGUAACACGUGGGAACAUGCCCAAAGGUACGGAACAACUCCGGGAAACUGGAGCUAAUACCGUAUGUGUCCGUAAGGAGAAAGAUUUAUCGCCUUUGGAUUGGCCCGCGUCGGAUUAGCUAGUUGGUGGGGUAAAAGCCUACCAAGGCGACGAUCCGUAGCUGGUUUGAGAGAACGACCAGCCACACUGGGACUGAGACACGGCCCAGACUCCUACGGGAGGCAGCAGUGGGGAAUCUUGGACAAUGGGCGCAAGCCUGAUCCAGCCAUGCCGCGUGGAUGAUGAAGGCCUUAGGGUUGUAAAAUCCUUUCGCCGAGGACGAUAAUGACGGUACUCGGAGAAGAAGCUCCGGCUAACUUCGUGCCAGCAGCCGCGGUAAU